CUGGUUGACCUUGUGGGUGUGAAUGUUGUCACAGACCUGCUGAGCCAUCUUUCUGCAAGAAGAUAAAGGAAGACCAGGAAUGCCUGCCGAACUCCUACGAAGGAAGUCUAGGAGAGGAAGGGGACAGGGAGGAAGAUGGUGUCUGCAAACCAGGAAGCAGCCUUGCCAGACAUGGGAUUGGCCACAACCUUGACCCCAGACUUCCAGCCUCCAGAGCUUUGAUCAUGUUACUUGCUGAUAGGAAGGACUGAGUUCAUUUUCAGCAUGUCUGGCUUUUCCAUUUCUGUGGCCAGGGAAGGAAUUUCCCUGCACAGGCUCUCUUGCCUGCCACCAUGUAAGACCUGCCUCUGCUCCUCCUUCACC